rnacentral:rRNA from 1 species
GAAACAAUCAAUCAUAUUCUACUUGGUCGUGUUCUGGCUAGGCAGGUGUGGUACCCAAUCAUUGGCAACUGGAACAAACCCGAGUGCCUGCCGACCGCAGAAGCCAAUCUCGUGACAUGGUGGACUGAGAUAAACUCCCAACGUCACCUCAGGAGGGAGACAUGGACGGUGAUUUCGCUGGUGGCAUGGAUGCUGUGGAAGCACAGGAAUGAUAUUGUGUUUAAUGGAGUAUCGCCAUCCGCUGAAGAAGUGCUCAAGAAAAUCGUCCCGGAGGGACAAAGCUGGAGAGCGGCCGGACUGCUGAGAGAAACAGGGUCGCUACCAGAUAGAGUGGAUGGGUUGUCUAGUGACGAGUAG